rnacentral:rRNA from 1 species
GAGUUUGAUCAUGGCUCAGAUUGAACGCUGGCGGCAGGCCUAACACAUGCAAGUCGAACGGUAACAGGAAUCAGCUUGCUGAUUUGCUGACGAGUGGCGGACGGGUGAGUAAUGUCUGGGAAACUGCCUGAUGGAGGGGGAUAACUACUGGAAACGGUAGCUAAUACCGCAUAACGUCGCAAGACCAAAGAGGGGGACCUUCGGGCCUCUUGCCAUCGGAUGUGCCCAGAUGGGAUUAGCUAGUAGGUGGGGUAACGGCUCACCUAGGCGACGAUCCCUAGCUGGUCUGAGAGGAUGACCAGCCACACUGGAACUGAGACACGGUCCAGACUCCUACGGGAGGCAGCAGUGGGGAAUAUUGCACAAUGGGCGCAAGCCUGAUGCAGCCAUGCCGCGUGUAUGAAGAAGGCCUUCGGGUUGUAAAGUACUUUCAGCGGGGAGGAAGGGAGUAAAGUUAAUACCUUUGCUCAUUGACGUUACCCGCAGAAGAAGCACCGGCUAACUCCGUGCCAGCAGCCGCGGUAAUACGGAGGGUGCAAGCGUUAAUCGGAAUUACUGGGCGUAAAGCGCACGCAGGCGGUUUGUUAAGUCAGAUGUGAAAUCCCCGGGCUCAACCUGGGAACUGCAUCUGAUACUGGCAAGCUUGAGUCUCGUAGAGGGGGGUAGAAUUCCAGGUGUAGCGGUGAAAUGCGUAGAGAUCUGGAGGAAUACCGGUGGCGAAGGCGGCCCCCUGGACGAAGACUGACGCUCAGGUGCGAAAGCGUGGGGAGCAAACAGGAUUAGAUACCCUGGUAGUCCACGCCGUAAACGAUGUCGACUUGGAGGUUGUGCCCUUGAGGCGUGGCUUCCGGAGCUAACGCGUUAAGUCGACCGCCUGGGGAGUACGGCCGCAAGGUUAAAACUCAAAUGAAUUGACGGGGGCCCGCACAAGCGGUGGAGCAUGUGGUUUAAUUCGAUGCAACGCGAAGAACCUUACCUGGUCUUGACAUCCACGGAAGUUUUCAGAGAUGAGAAUGUGCCUUCGGGAACCGUGAGACAGGUGCUGCAUGGCUGUCGUCAGCUCGUGUUGUGAAAUGUUGGGUUAAGUCCCGCAACGAGCGCAACCCUUAUCCUUUGUUGCCAGCGGUCCGGCCGGGAACUCAAAGGAGACUGCCAGUGAUAAACUGGAGGAAGGUAGGGAUGACGUCAAGUCAUCAUGGCCCUUACGACCAGGGCUACACACGUGCUACAAUGGCGCAUACAAAGAGAAGCGACCUCGCGAGAGCAAGCGGACCUCAUAAAGUGCGUCGUAGUCCGGAUUGGAGUCUGCAACUCGACUCCAUGAAGUCGGAAUCGCUAGUAAUCGUGGAUCAGAAUGCCACGGUGAAUACGUUCCCGGGCCUUGUACACACCGCCCGUCACACCAUGGGAGUGGGUUGCAAAAGAAGUAGGUAGCUUAACCUUCGGGAGGGCGCUUACCACUUUGUGAUUCAUGACUGGGGUGAAGUCGUAACAAGGUAACCGUAGGGGAACCUGCGGUUGGAUCACC